UUGGGUUUAAAGGGUCCGCAGGCGGUCCAGUAAGUCAGGGGUGAAAGUUUGCGGCUUAACCGUAAAAUUGCCUUUGAUACUGCUGGUCUCGAGUUGCGGUGAAGUGGCUGGAAUAUGUGGUGUAACGGUGAAAUGCAUAGAUAUCACAUAGAACACCGAUUGCGAAGGCAGGUCACUAACCGCCGACUGACGCUGAUGGACGAAAGCGUGGGGAGCGAACGGGAUUAGAUACCCCGGUAGUCCACGCCGUAAACGAUGGACACUAGCUGUCGGGCCGAUUUAGGUUCGGUGGCUAAGCGAAAGUGAUAAGUGUCCCACCUGGGGAGUACGUCGGCAACGAUGAAACUCAAAGGAAUUGACGGGGGCCCGCACAAGCGGUGGAGCAUGUGGUUUAAUUCGAUGAUACGCGAGGAACCUUACCAGGGCUUAAAUGUAGUGGGACAGGCUUAGAGAUAGGCUUUUCUUCGGACUCAUUACAAGGUGCUGCAUGGUUGUCGUCAGCUCGUGCCGUGAGGUGUCAGGUUAAGUCCUAUAACGAGCGCAACCCCUACCGUUAGUUGCCAGCGAGUAAAGUCGGGGACUCUAACGGAACUGCCGGUGCAAACCGCGAGGAAGGUGGGGAUGACGUCAAAUCAUCACGGCCCUUACGUCCUGGGCUACACACGUGCUACAAUGGCCGGUACAAUGAGCAGCCACGUCGCAAGGCGGAGCGAAUCUAUAAAACCGGUCACAGUUCGGAUCGGGGUCUGCAACCCGACCCCGUGAAGCUGGAAUCGCUAGUAAUCGGAUAUCAGCCAUGAUCCGGUGAAUACGUUCCCGGGCAUUGUACACACCGCCCGUCAAGCCAUGGAAGCCGGGAGUGCAUGAAGUCCGUCACCGCAAGGAGCGGC
rnacentral:rRNA from 1 species